UUAACUUAAUAGGUAGGGUGCGCCAGGCCUAUGCAAUAGUGCAAGACAUAGGCGACGCCCGAGAGUCCCACUAGCAAGCUAGUGUUUUGGACCCUCCCCUUUAAAAAAUUAAUUUAAUAUCGUGUGAGUCAAUGACUCACAUAUCAGAUAUUAAACUGAUAAGAACAGAUACUACACUUGAUCUUAGCCAAAAGGCCGAGAAAGAUUCUGCAUAUUUUAUUUUGUAAAUGAAAGGAAAACCGUGAGAAGAUGAAGACAAUGACGCAAGAGUUUAACACUAAUAACAUGAAAAAGGUACGUCUAAGGCACAAAUGUGGGACCAAGUAGUCUCCUAGACUCCUAGUCGUAUCACGGGGGAUUUAGAGUGAGAUUUAUGAUGGAACAAAGAUGCAUUGUACCAUGUAAUAUACAAAGCUGUAAGGAGGCAUCUGAUAUUGAUUAAUGUAUUUAGUACUGCGUAAUAUACAAAGAUGCAAGCACAAACUAUAUUGUUAUUUAUGCAACAAAUCCCUUUUUAUGAGCAAAUGUUGUAAUCGCGGCAAUCCAUAAUGAAACUGCCAUUAUGUGAGGUUUUGUGGCCAAGAAAAGGUGAACUAAUACUGGGUUAUAACUUAUAAAUUGAUAAACAUGUUACCACCUUGAGUAACAAAUGUAGCAGCAAGGGUUACCAAUUGUUUUGUUUUUUUCUUGACAACAACCACAAGGGUUACCAAUUGUUUAGAGGUGGGUUAUUUGGAUACAGUUUAGUUGAUUUGACAAGCGAUUCAGUCUGAUUUUUAAUGCAACGAGUGACUCAAUGGAAUUGGAUACAUUUUGUUAGCAGCAAGAGUAUUAUGACCAUAAUUGAAGGGUGGGCACUGAAAUAACCAAAUAUUAGCAACAACUAACCAAUUUCUUGUUGAACAUAUUACUUGCAGUUUAGGGCCCAAUGCU